rnacentral:lncRNA from 1 species
UUCUCUUAUUUUUUAGCUAGGGUUUAAACUUCUUUUUUUCCUUUUUCUCCUCUUUCGGUUAGGAUUUGUACUUUUCAUUUUCUUCUAUUUCUCUCUACCAGUACUUUCUCCAAAAUCCUCCCUAUAUGUACCUUGAGAUAUCACUGUCUGGAUGACUGUUUAAGGCCAUAGAUAGAUUUUUGUAAUUUACACACCUUAUACUCUUGACCUUCUUGAACAAAAUC